UACAGAGGGUGCGAGCGUUAAUCGGAAUUACUGGGCGUAAAGGGUGCGUAGGCGGUUAUUUAAGUUAGAUGUGAAAUCCCCGGGCUUAACCUGGGAAUUGCAUUUGAUACUGGAUGGCUAGAGUAGAGUAGAGGGAAGUGGAAUUUCCGGUGUAGAGGUGAAAUUCGUAGAUAUCGGGAGGAACACCGGUGGCGAAGGCGGCGACCUGGGUAGAUACUGACGCUGAGGUGCGAAAGCGUGGGGAGCAAACAGG
rnacentral:rRNA from 1 species